UACGUAGGGUCCGAGCGUUGUCCGGAAUUAUUGGGCGUAAAGAGCUCGUAGGCGGCCUGUUGCGUCCGCUGUGAAAGCCCGGGGCUUAACCCCGGGUCUGCAGUGGAUACGGGCAGGCUAGAGGUAGGUAGGGGAGAAUGGAAUUCCCGGUGUAGCGGUGAAAUGCGCAGAUAUCGGGAGGAACACCGGUGGCGAAGGCGGUUCUCUGGGCCUUACCUGACGCUGAGGAGCGAAAGCGUGGGGAGCGAACAGA
rnacentral:rRNA from 1 species